ensembl:misc_RNA Metazoa_SRP Metazoan signal recognition particle RNA
GCCAGGUGUGGUGGCGCGUGCCUGUAGUCCCAGCUACUAGCAAGGCUGAGGUGGAAGGAUUGCUUGAGCCCAGUUCUGGGCUGUAAUGCGCUAUGCUGGUCGGGUGUCCUCACUAAGUUCGGCAUCAAGAUGGUGACCUCCAGGGAAGGGGGGACCACCAAGUUGCCUAAGGACGGGUAAACUGGCCCAGGUCAGAAACAGAGUGGGUCAAAACUCCCAUGCUGAUCAGUAGUGGGAUCACUCCUGUGAAUAGCCACUGCACUCCAGCCUGGGCAACAUAGCAAGACCCACACUCUA